rnacentral:piRNA from 1 species
AGGCUGUCUGCAAGCUAGAGACGUAGUGAUGU